CUGAGAGCAAGCACAGGAGAACCCUGAUGCUUUUAGCACGGGGCCUAGCCUGCGUCUGUAUCUGGGGCCCGGAGCCCAGCUGCUGCAUUCCAGAAGUGGGUGCUCGUACCCUGAAACAGCACUUGGAGAAGAGCUCGAGAUAGGGUUUUGUGGCUGUGGGCCGGUCCCUCUCCUCUCUGGCCCUCCAUUUCCCCAUCUGUGAGUGGAAGGGGCUGGUUACAUGGUUACAUGCUCUGAGCUCUGACACCCCUGAGCUCGGCCCUCCUGGUCCUGACCAGUGCACCUCUCCACCCCACCCUGAGUGGUCACAGCCCCAGAGCCCACUCUCCCCAUUGAAGCUACUUCAUUUUCUCUGUAGGAGAGGUUUUUUGCAGGUCAGCUGUGGGCAGCAAGGGUCUGACCAGCAGGUCAGGCCUUUUGGCUUUCCACAGGUGGCCACGUGGAAAUCUUUACCCAGUCACACUGGGAAUGUGAAGCGAGACUGAAAUCUCCUCCGUCCCUUGCUGAUAGAAUAUAGAGGGCUCCCAAUUCAAGGCAUUUCAGUCGCUUGGGGUCAAAACUCAGCCUUUGCUGGUGACAGAACCCUGGUAGUUUCAGAGUGCUUCCUGUAACUCUUCUUCCUUCUCUCAAGGCUGGUUCCACUCCCUGACAGGGUUGCUGUGUGUCCUGUCCCUCAGGAAAGGGCUUCUCUUCCUAGGUGUCCUUGCUUUCACUGACCUCUGCUGACCCCUCGCCUUCUCACCCUGGCCUGGGGUGUCAGCCUCUGUCUGGCUGUUGAUGUCCAUGGCUCUGCUGUGGGCUCCAGAGCAUUAUUCUUGUCCCUCUCACCAGGCUACCCUGCUCUGUCUGCCCACCCGGACAUGGGCACAGCAUUCUGGGGUUCUUGCCAUCCCUGUGGGGGGCUGACCUCAGGGUUCCCAUCUACACUCCCACCCUCACCUUUGCUAUCCUAUUGCUCAAAAGGUUUAUAGGCUCCCAGCUACACAUUGGACAUCAUGAAAAGCCUGUUUUAUUCUAGAAUUCCUCUCAGCUGAACGGGUUUUGUAUUGUUUUUUGGUGAACACUUCCCCAUCGCCAAGGCCAAGUCUUAAAGAAAUCUCCAGUUGCCAAACUUCCGUGACAUUCCUUCAGACCUUCCUUUAUCUAUGGCCUCCUAGAGCCCAUAUGCUCUGGGGCUGGAAGAGCACUUUUGGGGGCACCUGGCUUUUGACAAUGAAACCUGUGGCUGUCCAGACUAUGUAGGCUGUGCCAUAGAUUUAAAAGGUCACCUUAAAUGA